AGUAUUCGCGCGCCCGUGUCGUUUGGAGCCGCGACGCCGAACAUGGCGCGUUCCUAGAAGCCGCUCUCGGCCUCAGGAGGCGGCCGCGCGUGGACUGGCAGCGUGGGGCGCGGGACCAACCGACGCUACUUCGUGUUGAGAAGUAGGAGCGGGAGGGCCGGGCAAUUCCGGACCGAGCCAAACGGUUUCCAUGGAUCUCAAUAGUGCCAGCACUGUUGUUCUUCAGGUCUUAACACAGGCCACCAGUCAGGAUACUGCUGUGUUAAAACCAGCAGAGGAGCAGUUGAAACAGUGGGAGACACAGCCAGGUUUCUAUUCAGUGUUGCUGAAUAUUUUCACAAACCACUCUCUGGAUAUAAAUGUAAGAUGGCUUGCUGUACUGUAUUUUAAAAAUGGAAUUGAUCGCUACUGGAGACGUGUAGCACCUCA